UUAUUAAAUAUAAAUAGAUUAUUCAAUGAAGAAAACAACUUUCCCGCCAAAAAACAAUGGAAAAAUUAAUGAAAAUACUCAAUAUUCACUGCUUUUAAUAAAUUGUACUGAAGUAACAAAAAGCAAUUAGAUUUUAUAUUGCUUAUUUAUUAAUUCCAUCGACAUCUAUGCGACCGAGUGAAGUAAAAAGUACCUCAAUAUUUUUCGAUAUUGGCUGUUUGAAUCUGCGUUGCCAGAAUUUCUUUGUCUCAUGGAAAAAAAAGUAAACUCAGUACCCAAACCGUUGGCGCGAAAAAGUGACAAGCGUUUUUUCACUUGUAUUUCAAGAUUCCAAAGGUAAGUUGAUUUUGUUAUUGAUAAUUUAACAAUUAUUUAUAAAUAUAUUUAGGUAUAUAAUCUUUAAAAUCGUAAAAUAGUUAGCCAUAUAAACAUAAUUAUUAUAAUUGUAAGAUCUUUAACUAUCUGUACUGAUUUUCUCUUUUUCACAUAAUGAAAGUGAAACAUUAAAAGGUAAGUACGUACCUACUUAAAGCUAUAAUUCUUAUUUUAUUGUCUAUUAGAUAAACAAAUAGUACAGAAGUGGUUUGUUUACAGAUGAAGCGUUCAAGCGUCGAAAUUCCAUUGUGCUCUACAAUGCGUCGCCGUCGCGUCGACGACGAGCCUGCUGCAACCUGCAUCGGUGCCGGUCUAACACACCAAGGCUCCGAUAUGUAUGAAGGAAAUGCACAAUGCUAAAAACUGCGUAGGAGAUUUUAAUACAAUAGUACUACCAAGCCUGAUGUUGGCCGCUAUUUCAAUGAAUGCAGCAGUGUGACAGCUAGCAAUCAAAAGUAACAAGAUAUCGAGGAAAUGCAGAUGGCAAUAAACUGUGUAGGAGUUCAUGAUUGCAAUAGAAUAAAAUCGACCAAGCCUGAAGUCAGCAGCCCCUUCAAUGAAUGCAGCAGUGUGACAGCCAGCAAUCAAAAGUUACAAGAUAUCGAGGAAAUGCAGAAGGCAAAAAACUGCGUAGGAGAUCAUUAAUACAAAAGUAUUAUAUAAACCAAACCUGAUGUUGCCAGCUCCUUCAAUGAAUGCAGCAGUGUGACAGCCAACAAUCAAAAGUAACAAGAUAUCGAGGAAAUGCAGAAGGCAAAAAACUGCGUAGGAGAUCAUUAAUACAAUAGUAUUAUAUAAACCAAGCCUGAUGUUGGCCGCUCAUUCAAAGAAUGCAGCAGUGUGACAGCCAGCAAUCAAAAGUAACAAGAUGUCGAGGAAAUGCAGAGUGUAAUAAACUGUGUAGGAGAUUAUGAUUGCAAUAGAAUAAAAUCGACCAAGCCUGAAGUCCUUCAAUGCACGCAGCAGUGUGACAGCCAGCAAUCAAAAGUUACAAGAUAUCGAGGAAAUACAGAAGGCAAAGAAGCAGAUGUCAUCAAAGAAGAUCUUUGUUCCUGCAAUGUUUCCGCAGACGAUACAUCCAACAGAGCGAAGUGGAAGGAAAAGACUCGGAAUAAAGACCCCACCACCAUAUGGGAACAAUGCAAGGGAGAGAGAGAGAAUAUAAUGUUAUAUUUUUAUUUUUUGAUAACAUAAAAUAAA
rnacentral:lncRNA from 1 species